GGAGUCCAGCAUGUGCGCGAGUCAUUGGGAAGCACUAGCUAAACCUAAAGGCGAAAUGAAAGUGAAGGCGCGCCCCGCGCGCGCCAAGGGAGGAUGGGCGGUCUCCCGAGGCCUCGAGCCGAGGGCCGUUUCCGCCCCGCACUCCCGGGGCGUCUCGUUCUCAUCGCGAGAAGAGGCGCACCAAGAGCGUACACGCUGGGACCCGAAAGAUGGUGAACUAUGCCUGGUCAGGACGAAGUCAGGGGAAACCCUGAUGGAGGUCCGUAGCGAUUCUGACGUGCAAAUCGAUCGUCGGAACUGGGUAUAGGGGCGAAAGACUAAUCGAACCAUCUAGUAGCUGGUUCCCUCCGAAGUUUCCCUCAGGAUAGCUGGCGCUCGACGCGCGAGUCUCAUCCGGUAAAGCGAAUGAUUAGAGGCAUUGGGGUCGAAACGGCCUCAACCUAUUCUCAAACUUUAAAUGGGUGAGAUCUCCGGCUUGCUCGAAGACGUGAAGCCGCGAGAUCGGAUCAGAGUGCCAAGUGGGCCAAUUUUGGUAAGCAGAACUGGCGCUGUGGGAUGAACCAAACGCGGAGUUAAAGCGCCUAAAUCGACGCUUAUGGGAUACCAUGAAAGGCGUUGGUAACUUAAGACAGCAGGACGGUGGCCAUGGAA
rnacentral:rRNA from 1 species